AACGAACGCUGGCGGCAUGCCUAACACAUGCAAGUCGAACGAGACCUUCGGGUCUAGUGGCGCACGGGUGCGUAACGCGUGGGAACCUGCCCUUAGGUUCGGAAUAACUCCCCGAAAGGGGUGCUAAUACCGGAUAAUUUCUUCGGACCAAAGAUUUAUCGCCUUUGGAUGGGCCCGCGUUGGAUUAGCUAGUUGGUAGGGUAAAAGCCUACCAAGGCGACGAUCCAUAGCUGGUCUGAGAGGAUGAUCAGCCACACUGGGACUGAGACACGGCCCAGACUCCUACGGGAGGAAGCAGUGGGGAAUAUUGGACAAUGGGCGAAAGACUGAGCCAGCAAUGCCGCGUGAGUGAUGAAGGACUUAGGGUUGUAAAGCUCUUUUACCAGGGAUGAUAAUGACAGUACCGGGAGAAUAAGCGCCGGCUAACUCCGUG
rnacentral:rRNA from 1 species